CCGCCGCGCCGACGCCCGUGACGUCAGCCGCCCGGCUCCAUUUGAGCGCCUCUCGGCAGCCGAGAACUCGGACUUCCCGUGUGGCUCACAACAUAACUACUCGGCGUUGCUUCUACAGUGGCUGUGGCUCGACCCCUAGCCUGGGAACCUCCAUAUGCCGCAGCCCCGCGGCGGCAGAUGGCACUCGUUCUGCCGCUUUUUCCUGGCUGUGUGCGAUGCCAUCGCAUGGAUGUCCCCGGGCCUUCGAAGUGCACUCACCUGUCAGUGGACCUUUAGGUGGCUUCCAGAUCUUGGCUCUGGUGAGUAGUGCGGCGACAGACAGAGGGGUGCCCGGGUCUGCUUCCGGGAAAGUUUGGUCCCGGUGAAAUGGAGCUGUUUGGAGGCCGGCUUCGGUCUUUGUGUGGGCCGGCCCGUGUAGGGCUGCUUGGCUGAGACUCUGUCGAGGAGGGAGGCCUUCAGCCACCGGGGCCUCACGGGGCCUACCCGUGCGGCACCAUCACAGAGCUCUCUGUCACUGCCCCUUGUGGGGGUGAGGGAAGGGGCGUGUUGGGG
ensembl:lncRNA